rnacentral:rRNA from 1 species
AGAGUUUGAUCCUGGCUCAGGACGAACGCUGGCGGCGUGCCUAACACAUGCAAGUCGAGCGAGAGACUUCGGUCUCUAGCGGCGGACGGGUGAGUAACACGUGGGUAACCUGCCUCAUAGAGGGGGAUAGCCUCCCGAAAGGGAGAUUAAUACCGCAUAACAUCAUGCUAACGCAUGUUAGUAUGAUCAAAGGAGCAAUCCGCUAUGAGAUGGACCCGCGGCGCAUUAGCUAGUUGGUGAGGUAAAGGCUCUCCAAGGCGACGAUGCGUAGCCGACCUGAGAGGGUGAUCGGCCACAUUGGAACUGAGACACGGUCCAGACUCCUACGGGAGGCAGCAGUGGGGAAUAUUGCACAAUGGGCGAAAGCCUGAUGCAGCAACCCCGCGUGAGUGAUGAAGGCCUUCGGGUUGUAAAGCUCUGUCUUUUGGGACGAUAAUGACGGUACCAAAGGAGGAAGCCACGGCUAACUACGUGCCAGCAGCCGCGGUAAUACGUAGGUGGCAAGCGUUGUCCGGAUUUACUGGGCGUAAAGGAUGCGUAGGUGGAUAUUUAAGUGGGAUGUGAGAUACCCGGGCUUAACCUGGGUGCUGCAUACCAAACUGGAUAUCUGGAGUGCAGGAGAGGUAAGUGGAAUUCCUGGUGUAGCGGUGAAAUGCGUAGAGAUUAGGAAGAACACCAGUGGCGAAGGCGACUUACUGGACUGUAACUGACACUGAGGCAUGAAAGCGUGGGGAGCAAACAGGAUUAGAUACCCUGGUAGUCCACGCCGUAAACUAUGGGUACUAGGUGUGGGAGGUAUCGACCCCUUCCGUGCCGCCGUUAACACAAUAAGUACCCCGCCUGGGGAGUACGGUCGCAAGAUUAAAACUCAAAGGAAUUGACGG